UGGGGAAUAUUGGAUAAUGGGCGAAAGCCUGAUCCAGCCAUGCCGCGUGUGUGAAGAAGGUCUUCGGAUUGUAAAGCACUUUAAGUUGGGAGGAAGGGCAGUAAGCGAAUACCUUGCUGUUUUGACGUUACCGACAGAAUAAGCACCGGCUAACUCUGUGCCAGCAGCCGCGGUAAUACAGAGGGUGCAAGCGUUAAUCGGAAUUACUGGGCGUAAAGCGCGCGUAGGUGGUUCGUUAAGUUGAAUGUGAAAGCCCCGGGCUCAACCUGGGAACUGCAUCCAAAACUGGCGAGCUAGAGUAGGGCAGAGGGUGGUGGAAUUUCCUGUGUAGCGGUGAAAUGCGUAGAUAUAGGAAGGAACACCAGUGGCGAAGGCGACCACCUGGGCUCAUACUGACACUGAGGUGCGAAAGCGUGGGGAGCAAACAGG
rnacentral:rRNA from 1 species